AGGAAAGUCUAGUCCCUUAUAAGUGAGCGCGCAGUGUUGUGAAUAUGAUAUUGUUAGCGCUUAGGCAAGCGAGUGGGGCAUAGGUCUUAUUUCUUUCGCAGCGAGAACGCUAGCGUUCGCCCCUCCGAAGUUUGUUUGAGGAUAAGGUUUAAUAUAUUGAAGAUCGCUUGAUUUUGUCCAGAGAAAUUGCCGCGGGGUGGUAACGCCCAACUAAACUUAGCUUACCGCU
rnacentral:RNase_P_RNA from 1 species